rnacentral:rRNA from 1 species
AGAGAGAGACAUGCGCGCAUAUCAAUAAGCGGAGGAAAAGAAACUAACAAGGAUUCCCUUAGUAACGGCGAGUGAAGCGGGAAGAGCUCAAAUUUGAAAUCUUCAAGGUUUUACCUUGACGAAUUGUAGUUUAAAGAAGUGUUUUCUGCUGAAGUUUUGGUAAAAGUUCUUUGGAAUAGGACAUCAUAGAGGGUGAGAAUCCCGUAUUUGACCAUUAUUUUCAGCUUUGUGAUACACCUUCAAAGAGUCGGAUUGUUUGGGAAUGCAGUCCAAAAUGGGUGGUAAAUUUCAUCUAAAGCUAAAUAUUGGCGAGAGACCGAUAGCGAACAAGUACCGUGAGGGAAAGAUGAAAAGAACUUUGAAAAGAGAGUUAAACAGUACGUGAAAUUGUCAAAAGGGAAGCGUUUGACACCAGUGUUGUUUUCUCGAAAAUCAAUUAAAAAUGGCUCGAUUUUGUAUUGCUUGAGACCUUAAAAGCUCACUGUACAUUUUUCGUGUCUUUUUUAAUGCACUUUUCGUUUAACAAGUCAACAUCAGUUUCUUUUGUUGUAUAAGGGUCAUUGGAAGGUGGCUUUCUUUUCGGAGAAAGUGUUUAUAGCCUUUGGCCUCUGCAAUCGAAGAGACUGAGGUCUGCAGCGUAGACUCUUCGGGGUUAGAUACAUUUGUGCUAAGUUAUAGCUUUUUAUAGACAACUUGUUGACUAUAAUUAGUCUUGUAGCUUACUCGCUUAUGCUAUUUUACCUACGCUUAGGAUGUUGAGUCGUAGAGCACGAG